UUAAGUUAUUAAGGGCGCACGGUGGAUGCCUUGGCACUAGAAGCCGAUGAAGGACGUUACUAACGACGAUAUGCUUUGGGGAGCUGUAAGUAAGCUUUGAUCCAGAGAUUUCCGAAUGGGGAAACCCAGCAUGAGUUAUGUCAUGUUAUCGAUAUGUGAAUACAUAGCAUAUCAGAAGGCACACCCGGAGAACUGAAACAUCUUAGUACCCGGAGGAAGAGAAAGAAAAUUCGAUUCCCUUAGUAGCGGCGAGCGAAACGGGAAGAGCCCAAACCAACAAGCUUGCUUGUUGGGGUUGUAGGACACUCUAUACGGAGUUACAAAGGACGACAUUAGACGAAUCAUCUGGAAAGAUGAAUCAAAGAAGGUAAUAAUCCUGUAGUCGAAAAUGUUGUCUCUCUUGAGUGGAUCCUGAGUACGACGGAGCACGUGAAAUUCCGUCGGAAUCUGGGAGGACCAUCUCCUAAGGCUAAAUACUCUCUAGUGACCGAUAGUGAACCAGUACCGUGAGGGAAAGGUGAAAAGCACCCCGGAAGGGGAGUGAAAUAGAACCUGAAACCGUGUGCUUACAAGUAGUCAGAGCCCGUUAAUGGGUGAUGGCGUGCCUUUUGUAGAAUGAACCGGCGAGUUACGAUUUGAUGCAAGGUUAAGCAGUAAAUGUGGAGCCGUAGCGAAAGCGAGUCUGAAUAGGGCGUUUAGUAUUUGGUCGUAGACCCGAAACCAGGUGAUCUACCCUUGGUCAGGUUGAAGUUCAGGUAACACUGAAUGGAGGACCGAACCGACUUACGUUGAAAAGUGAGCGGAUGAACUGAGGGUAGCGGAGAAAUUCCAAUCGAACCUGGAGAUAGCUGGUUCUCUCCGAAAUAGCUUUAGGGCUAGCCUCAAGUGAUGAUUAUUGGAGGUAGAGCACUGUUUGGACGAGGGGCCCCUCUCGGGUUACCGAAUUCAGACAAACUCCGAAUGCCAAUUAAUUUAACUUGGGAGUCAGAACAUGGGUGAUAAGGUCCGUGUUCGAAAGGGAAACAGCCCAGACCACCAGCUAAGGUCCCAAAAUAUAUGUUAAGUGGAAAAGGAUGUGGCGUUGCCCAGACAACUAGGAUGUUGGCUUAGAAGCAGCCAUCAUUUAAAGAGUGCGUAAUAGCUCACUAGUCGAGUGACACUGCGCCGAAAAUGUACCGGGGCUAAACAUAUUACCGAAGCUGUGGAUUGUCCUUUGGACAAUGGUAGGAGAGCGUUCUAAGGGCGUUGAAGCAUGAUCGUAAGGACAUGUGGAGCGCUUAGAAGUGAGAAUGCCGGUGUGAGUAGCGAAAGACGGGUGAGAAUCCCGUCCACCGAUUGACUAAGGUUUCCAGAGGAAGGCUCGUCCGCUCUGGGUUAGUCGGGUCCUAAGCUGAGGCCGACAGGCGUAGGCGAUGGAUAACAGGUUGAUAUUCCUGUACCACCUAUAAUCGUUUUAAUCGAUGGGGGGACGCAGUAGGAUAGGCGAAGCGUGCGAUUGGAUUGCACGUCUAAGCAGUAAGGCUGAGUAUUAGGCAAAUCCGGUACUCGUUAAGGCUGAGCUGUGAUGGGGAGAAGACAUUGUGUCUUCGAGUCGUUGAUUUCACACUGCCGAGAAAAGCCUCUAGAUAGAAAAUAGGUGCCCGUACCGCAAACCGACACAGGUAGUCAAGAUGAGAAUUCUAAGGUGAGCGAGCGAACUCUCGUUAAGGAACUCGGCAAAAUGACCCCGUAACUUCGGGAGAAGGGGUGCUCUUUAGGGUUAACGCCCAGAAGAGCCGCAGUGAAUAGGCCCAAGCGACUGUUUAUCAAAAACACAGGUCUCUGCUAAACCGUAAGGUGAUGUAUAGGGGCUGACGCCUGCCCGGUGCUGGAAGGUUAAGAGGAGUGGUUAGCUUCUGCGAAGCUACGAAUCGAAGCCCCAGUAAACGGCGGCCGUAACUAUAACGGUCCUAAGGUAGCGAAAUUCCUUGUCGGGUAAGUUCCGACCCGCACGAAAGGCGUAACGAUUUGGGCACUGUCUCAACGAGAGACUCGGUGAAAUCAUAGUACCUGUGAAGAUGCAGGUUACCCGCGACAGGACGGAAAGACCCCGUGGAGCUUUACUGUAGCCUGAUAUUGAAAUUCGGCACAGCUUGUACAGGAUAGGUAGGAGCCUUUGAAACGUGAGCGCUAGCUUACGUGGAGGCGCUGGUGGGAUACUACCCUAGCUGUGUUGGCUUUCUAACCCGCACCACUUAUCGUGGUGGGAGACAGUGUCAGGCGGGCAGUUUGACUGGGGCGGUCGCCUCCUAAAAGGUAACGGAGGCGCUCAAAGGUUCCCUCAGAAUGGUUGGAAAUCAUUCAUAGAGUGUAAAGGCAUAAGGGAGCUUGACUGCGAGACCUACAAGUCGAGCAGGGUCGAAAGACGGACUUAGUGAUCCGGUGGUUCCGCAUGGAAGGGCCAUCGCUCAACGGAUAAAAGCUACCCCGGGGAUAACAGGCUUAUCUCCCCCAAGAGUUCACAUCGACGGGGAGGUUUGGCACCUCGAUGUCGGCUCAUCGCAUCCUGGGGCUGUAGUCGGUCCCAAGGGUUGGGCUGUUCGCCCAUUAAAGCGGUACGCGAGCUGGGUUCAGAACGUCGUGAGACAGUUCGGUCCCUAUCCGUCGUGGGCGUAGGAAAUUUGAGAGGAGCUGUCCUUAGUACGAGAGGACCGGGAUGGACAUACCUCUGGUGUACCAGUUGUCGUGCCAACGGCAUAGCUGGGUAGCUAUGUGUGGACGGGAUAAGUGCUGAAAGCAUCUAAGAAUGAAGCCCCCCUCAAGAUGAGAUUUCCCAACUUCGGUUAUAAGAUCCCUCAAAGAUGAUGAGGUUAAUAGGUUCGAGGUGGAAGCAUGGUGACAUGUGGAGCUGACGAAUACUAAUCGAUCGAAGACUUAAUCAA
rnacentral:rRNA from 1 species